rnacentral:rRNA from 1 species
UACGAAGGGGGCUAGCGUUGUUCGGAAUUACUGGGCGUAAAGCGUAUGCAGGCGGACUUUUAAGUUGGGGGUGAAAUCCCGAGGCUCAACCUCGGAACUGCCUUCAAUACUGGAAGUCUUGAGUCCGGGAGAGGUGAGUGGAACUCCGAGUGUAGAGGUGAAAUUCGUAGAUAUUCGCAAGAACACCAGUGGCGAAGGCGGCUCACUGGCCCGGUACUGACGCUGAGGUGCGAAAGCGUGGGGAGCAAACAGG